ACGGAAGGCAGCAGUGGGGAAUAUUGCACAAUGGGCGCAAGCCUGAUGCAGCGACGCCGCGUGGGGGAUGAAGGCCUUCGGGUUGUAAACUCCUUUCGCUAUCGACGAAGCCUUCGGGUGACGGUAGGUAGAUAAGAAGCACCGGCUAACUACGUGCCAGCAGCCGCGGUAAUACGUAGGGUGCAAGCGUUGUCCGGAAUUACUGGGCGUAAAGAGCUCGUAGGUGGUUUGUCGCGUCGUCUGUGAAAUCCCGGGGCUUAACUUCGGGCGUGCAGGCGAUACGGGCAUAACUUGAGUGCUGUAGGGGAGACUGGAAUUCCUGGUGUAGCGGUGAAAUGCGCAGAUAUCAGGAGGAACACCGAUGGCGAAGGCAGGUCUCUGGGCAGUUACUGACGCUGAGGAGCGAAAGCAUGGGUAGCGAACAGGAUUAGAUACCCUGGUA
rnacentral:rRNA from 1 species